AGAAAACUCUGCGGGGUCCACGUGGACCCAGAGGUGGCCAUUUUGAAGAAGGUUUCGUGAAAUCUAUCAAGAACAAACUCAGUUAUUUUGAGCAAAACUGCCCCGUUUCUGCAACAUUAUUGUGAUGAUGACGCUGAAUCCUUGGUCCAGCCAUGCUUGUCUAGAGACACCAGUCAACUAGAGACACCUAGUCGUAAAUGUUUCAGUGUGUCCCAGGAAGAACAAACCAUUUCAAUUGACAUGAACAAAAACUGACGCCAAAGAACUUGUUCACGUGCUCUAUCCAGCCCAUUCUCAGCAGCUCUUGUCCAUACGAUGGCGACUCGAUUUCAGUUCUU